rnacentral:ncRNA from 1 species
AAUCAAAAAGCGCCAGAGCCACAGCGCAGAUGUGGUUGACGAGGUGGAAGUGAUCGAAUUUUUUCGGCGGAUGCUUCCCGCCCUUUAGCACAGGGACGCAGGUCUUUUACAAAACAAAGAAGAAAUCCUUUGCACAAAAGAAAGAUA